AUGAGGCCUUGUGAAGUGGGGGCGGAGAGGAGCCGAGCAGCUUGAGAUGUGUUGAGGUGAGGAGCAGGUGAGCCGGCAGUGGGGUGGGAGAGGUCUAAGACUAGGGGUUUGUGGUCAGAGGUGGGGCAUUUCAGAUUUGAAGCAGUACGUGUGAGUGCCAGGUGAGGGCGAGAUCCAAGGUGGGCCUCUGCUGAAAGCCAGGUGGUUACAGUGCAGGGGAGGACUGACUGGAGGAGGUGGAGGUAUGGCUAUUGACAGCAAUGACAGGGGAGGGCUGUCAUCCAGGGCCAGUGAGAAAGGGGAUGGGGUAUUCCAGAACUCACCUUUACUUGUUCCUUUAUUCAUUCAACAAACAUUAUGGAGGUUACUUGAUGCCAGAGACUAUGAUGGCUGAUGGCAUGGGGGCAGCAUACCCAGGGAGGCUUGACACCAUGUAGGAUUCAAAGAAAGCAUAUAAUAGGGCUCCUACCUUCAAGAAGCUUAUGGUCACACUGGAGAGAGUGGACGAGUGCAUAAGAAACUGUGAGAAGGACUUGAGCAAGAAGCAUAGCAUGUGGUGAUGGGCCAGAGUGUGUGACAUGGAUGGUGAGGAGGGCUCAGCAACCAGCAAGGGCCAGAAUAAUCAUGAAGACUUUGGAGGGAUAGAUGUGAGCUACAUUUUCAAAACAAGAGCAGAGUGGAAAAGGCAUUCCAGGUGGGAUAAACAGCGGAGGCAAAGACAUGGCUGGGAAUUAAAUCAUUUGUGAUUUAUUUGAUAAUGAGAUCAGCCUGCCUGGCAUUGAGUUGAAGUGAUGGCAAAAAAGACUUAAUAUUUGCAAGGAGAACCUUGGAAAUCAGAGACAUGAAAAUGGAGUGAUAUAGAAAUAGGGAGCCAUUGUACGUUCUUGAGCAGGAGAGUUUGGCAUGAAAAGCACUGUUUGGGGAUGAGUCUAAGAAGGUAAAACUGACACCCCCAAUGACAUCCUGGGGAGAAACCUAGGUAGUUGGGGCUGGGAUUGGGAGAGGAGCUUACUUUUCUCUGUAUAUUUUUCUUUGCUAUUCAGAUUUUGGUCCUAUGUGUGUUUACUACCUAUUUAAUAAUAAUUUUUAAAUUUAAAGAACUCAUUGUAGCUGCAAGGGGAAUUCUCUAAACUCAGAUAUUAAAGGGUUACAUAUAUGAUGGAGGCACAGGGGUCAUGGGAAGAGACAGGGUAGAGGCAAGCAUAACCAGGUAUAAAUGCAAAGUUGUCACAGCUCCAUGAGGACAGUGUCAGGGAGAUAAAUCCAAUUAGAAAUAUUAGAGGACAGACAAAUAGCGAACAUCUGAGAGAAAAUGGACAUAUUACACUUCUCACCUAGACAGUUCCAUUCAGACAAUUUCUGAGAGUCCUGGUAUUUUUUGUUAAAUGCCUAGAAAACAAAUCACAAAGUCAGCCAAGUUAAAAAGGGAGCAGGGUGUCUUAUUUCUCUGAGAAAAAAGAUGUACAGGUGGGAUUUCAGCCUGGAGCUGAGUUGCAGAUGCAGGUGUGGUUCCUUGGCAGUGGAUGAGGAGCCCCUGGGAGAGGGAGCAAAGCCCUGCAAUGUGCCCCUCCAAGUAGGAGUCCUGUGUGUACCUGAGCUAGCUUGAGAAGCCUCGCCCACUCUACACCCCGUCAGAAAUUCAUAGCACCCAUCUUCAUGUUCUGUGAGGUUUUAAAUAAGGAAAACUUCCAAUAUGCUUUUCUUUACCUCACCCUGUGACCACAGCACUAAUUUUUCAUGAAUUUUUGUUACCAAUGGGAUACAAAUGGUUGGGGAACUCUGGCUUGGUCUGAUCUGUUGUCUCCAUGGAAACGCACAGACCCAGGGAAGGCAAAAGCCAAGGAACAGACUCUUGGUUCUAAGGGGCUUCCUCAAGCAGGGAGGCAGCUUGGUUUUUUGGCUGAUUUCCUCUAGUUCUGUCAUCACCACAGAGAUGACGAAACAGGAGAAGAAGUUUGAGGUGGGAAGAAAACCAUCCCCAGGAGUUCUGUGUGGUGAAGAAGGAAAUCACUGUUAGAAACAAGUGACAGUUUACAUCUGGGUCUUACAGUGUCAGCUCUGUUACUUGGUAAUUUCAGUUAAACUCAAAGACUGAGUUGGUUUGAGGAGACUUGGGACUGUUAAUUUGUGCUGCAUACUGAAGGUAAAAUUCAAGCUACCAUCCCACAUGGCUCCAGGCUGUUCUCCCUCCAUCUCUGCUCCCUAGCUCCCUUGGCUUUGACGAGUUUAUGACGAAAGAGCUGCUCACAUUAAGCUCCAGUUGAUUGGUAACCGAAGAUGAAAGCAGAGGCAUAGUAACUAAAUUAUCUAAAUAUCUUUUAAAAGCCAACUGUUUCUCAUUUGAGUAUUACACCUUUUGAGGGAACUUCAGAAAUCUAACCUGAAUUGGUCCUUCAUCAGCAGCUACUUUCUUUAUUUAGAAGAAAUAUCAACUAACAAAGAAUAAGCAUUUGUUUCUACUGUCACCAGCACAUUAUAUGACAAGAUACUUAAUUUCUUGUCACUAAAUUGUUUUUAUUGGACAAAAAGAAACUUAUGUAAAUAAGCGUAACUAUGUACAUAAAGCCUAGUUGAUUUGGCUAUUUUUUUCCUGUUAGAAAAAUAAAAGUAACAUACCUUUUUAGAAUCUA